UCAGACAUGGAUUUAAGAGAAAUGAGGAUGUUCUGAUGUGUAAUAGGUGAGAGAACUUUUUUAUCUGUAAGUAAAGUUUACAACUUUACAAAUAGAACAGUUUUAAAAACAACAGUGUGUUAUGUUGAGGUUGUUUUCUCCAACCAAAAACGUUUGAAUUUCCAGAAAGCCCAGUGCAGUGUUCAAUUAUAUUUUAUUAACAGGUACCUUAAAAGUCAGAUAUUUUCCGUAAAUUCUGUUUACAGUUUCACCUUUGUGUGUGUGCAUGUGUCAUUUACUCAUCAUGUUGUUCCAAACCUUUAUGUCUUUAUUGUGUGGAUCACAAAGAGAUUCUGCAAGUGGACUGUGACCAGAUGCAAUAAAGUGCCUUAAAAAAUUCAGAGUUAUAAGUAUAAAUACAGUACGUAUUUAUUGAUUGAAAGACCAGAGACUCUGCUGACAGAAAGUCUUGACAGCUAAGAACAAGGUCACAUUAACCACCAGAUCCAGUCCGUAUCCAGAUCAGAUGGUCACUGCAGUCCCCCGGAUCCAGUCCGAACCCAGCCCAGACGGUGGAUCAGCACCUAGAGACGACCUCUACAGCCCUGAAUGUCAGCGGAGUCCACAUCAACUAGAUGAGCCCCAGAGACGGAUCCACAUUAAAGACCACAUCACCUAGACGGCUGUCGGCACAAGACCACGGGAACUUUGGUCAGAGGAGAACUGGCCCCCCCGACUGAGCCUGGUUUCUCCCAAGGUUUUUUUCUCCAUUUGUCACCGAUGGAGUUUUGGUUCCUUGCUGCUGUCGCCUCUGGCUUGCUUAGUUGGGGACACUUUCUCUUAACACAAUAUUGCAUUUUAUUUUAUUGUUUUUGAUUAACUACCUUUACCUAUAAUGUGAGUGUUUAAUGUUGCCUUUGGCAUUGUUGAUGUACUGUUUCCUAUUUAAUACUGUACAGCCGCCUUGUCACAAUUCUGUAUUGUUAAAGGCGGUAUAUAAAUAAAGGUGACUUGACUUGA